GUAGUCCAGACCGUAAACGGUGGGCACUAGUUGUGGGAACCUUCCACGGUUUCUGCGACGCAGCUAACGCAUUAAGUGCCCCGCCUGGGGAGUACGAUCGCAAGAUUAAAACUCAAAGGAAUUGACGGGGCCCCGCACAAGCAGCGGAGCAUGCGGCUUAAUUCGACGCAACGCGAAGAACCUUACCAAGGCUUGACAUAUAGGGAAAAGUGGCAGAGAUGUCAUGUCCGCAAGGGCUCUAUACAGGUGGUGCAUGGUUGUCGUCAGCUCGUGUCGUGAGAUGUUGGGUUAAGUCCCGCAACGAGCGCAACCCUCGUUCUGUGUUGCCAGCAUUUAGUUGGGGACCCACAGGAGACUGCCGGGGUUAACUCGGAGGAAGGUGGGGAUGACGUCAAAUCAUCAUGCCCCUUAUGUCUUGGGCUGCACGCAUGCUACAAUGGCCGGUACAGAGGGCUGCAAUACCGUAAGGUGGAGCGAAUCCCAAAAAGCCGGUCUCAGUUCGGAUUGAGGUUUGCAACUCGACCUCAUGAAGUUGGAGUUGCUAGUAAUCGUAGAUCAGCAACGCUACGGUGAAUACGUUCCCGGGGCUUGUACACACCGCCCGUCACGUCACGAAAGUCGGUAACACCCAAAGUCAGUGGCCCAACCGCAAGGGGGGAGCUGCCUAAGGUGGGAUCGGUGAUUGGGACGAAGUCGUAACAAGGUAACC
rnacentral:rRNA from 1 species